AACAACGCUGGCGGCGUGCCUAACACAUGCAAGUCGCACGAGAAAGGGACUUCGGUCCUGAGUACAGUGGCGCACGGGUGAGUAACACGUGAAUAAUCUACCUCCGAGUGGGGAAUAACUGAGAGAAAUCUUAGCUAAUACCGCAUAACACUUACGAGUCAAAGCAGCAAUGCGCUUGGAGAGGAGUUCGCGGCAGAUUAGUUAGUUGGUAGGGUAAUGGCCACCAAGACGAUGAUCUGUAUCCGGCCUGAGAGGGCGCACGGACACACUGGAACUGAAACACGGUCCAGACUCCUACGGGAGGCAGCAGUCGGGAAUUUU
rnacentral:rRNA from 1 species